GCGUUGUUCGGAAUUACUGGGCGUAAAGGGCUCGUAGGCGGCCACCUAAGUCAGACGUGAAAUCCCUAGGCUCAACCUAGGAACUGCGUCUGAUACUGGAUGGCUUGAAUCCGGGAGAGGGAUGCAGAAUUCCAGGUGUAGCGGUGAAAUGCGUAGAUAUCUGGAGGAAUACCGGUGGCGAAGGCGGCAUCCUGGACCGGCAUUGACGCUGAGGAGCGAAAGCCAGGGGAGCAAACGGG
rnacentral:rRNA from 1 species